rnacentral:rRNA from 1 species
GACGAACGCUGGCGGCGUGCCUAACACAUGCAAGUCGAGCGAUGAAAUUAGAAACGGAGUCUUCGGACGAAGUGGAAAAUGGAUUAGCGGCGGACGGGUGAGUAACACGUGAGCAACCUGCCUAUCACAUCGGGAUAGCCUCGGGAAACUGGGAUUAAUACCGAAUGAAACAUAAUCACUGCCUAGUGGAAAUGUCAAAGAUUUAUCGGUGAUAGAUGGGCUCGCGUCUGAUUAGCUAGUUGGUGAGGUAAUGGCUCACCAAGGCGACGAUCAGUAGCCGGCCUGAGAGGGUGAACGGCCACAUUGGGACUGAGACACGGCCCAAACUCCUACGGGAGGCAGCAGUGGGGAAUAUUGCACAAUGGAGGGAACUCUGAUGCAGCGACGCCGCGUGAGCGAUGAAGGCUUUCGAGUCGUAAAGCUCUGUCGAAUGGGAAGAUAAUGACGGAACCAUUUGAGAAAGCCCCGGCUAACUACGUGCCAGCCGCCGCCGUAAGAC